GGAGAGAUGGCAGAGUGGCUGAAUGCGAUGGUCUUGAAAACCGUUGAGUAUCAAUACUCCGGGGGUUCAAAUCCCUCUCUCUCCG
rnacentral:tRNA from 2 species